rnacentral:lncRNA from 1 species
AAGCAUGGCCCCUUCUUUCUCUCUCUUCUGAUGAAGGCUCUGUUCGCUUCUGCUGUGGUUCAGAGGGAGUCCUUAUGAUGGCCAUGAGAGAGAGAGAUGAGGGAGAGGGAAGGGGAAUGCGUGCGUGCGUGAGAACUUGUGCAGGUAUUUUCUCUGUCAGUGUAGAGAGAGAUAGAGAGAUAGAGAGAAAGAGAGAGGAAGAAGGGGGAGGGGAACAGAAGGUAGUUUUAAGAGGAAAG